AUUUAUUUUGAAUACGAAUACGAAUUUGGAUCAUGUAAAACGAAUUCAAAUUUGUCCAAUUAAGGUACCAUAUUAGAAACGAAUGUGGUUACCAAUAUCCAUAUAUCACAUUUUAGUGGAUACGAAUUCAGAUAUCUGCCUACCACUUUCCACUCCUAUCAGUUACCAUUUUAAAUCAGUUUUGUAACAAAACAAAUGCGUGUGCAACACUCAUACGAACUCCACAUCCUUUCUCUAAUAAGCUAGUACGUGCCUGCCAACAAAACCCACUAAUACCAUCGCUCUCAGGUGGAGAGUGGAGACUUUAACGUUAUGAGAAAUGACAUUAUGAGAAAAAGUAAAGAGAAAAAAGAUAAUAAAUUGAGUUUCAAUGACCGAUGGGCUUUCUUGUUCAAUGUGGUGACUAAUAGCUUUGAUCUUAUAGGGAAAUAGUCUUGAAUAUUGUCUGUUCACACUAGUAGAAAAAUGACCUUCCAUCCCCAAUAAAAAUCUCAGUUAUUUUUGGACUCGGGACUAAAGAGACUCUACUCGCGGUUGGUCACACAAACCGGGAUUAAAGGUGAUCCUGAAUAAAAAGCUCGUUCGUGGAGACACCUUUAGUCCUGGUUGGUAACACCCAUUGGGACUCAAGGUGAUCCUUUAGUCCCGGUUGGUGUUACAAACCCGUACUAAAGUCUUCGUGGGCUUUACUCCCAAUUAGUAAUACCAACCAGGACUCAAGGGUGCCCUUUAAGACUAAUGGGUCCCCCACGAGUUACUACAAAAGGAUUGCAUCCUGUACUCAGUCAGAUGUGUUGUGUAGGUGAGAUGGUAAGGAAGCUACGCGCUAGGCUUGCGGUCCUGGGAUCGAAUCCCAUGCACUGCACACACGCAUAUUUCGCGUGAAAAAUCACGUGACUUGUCACUUGUGACAUGCGUGUGGGGUGGUGCCUCGCGCUUGGGGGCUAGGUACGUAUUUCAACUCGGCUUGCCUCGUGGCUCCACCAGUCCUCGUGCUUGGAGGGCUGUGCGUCUAUUUCUGGUCGACGUGCCUCCUUGGCUCUGCUAGUACUCGCGCUCAGGGGCUGGGUGCCUAUUUUAGCUCGGCUUGCCUCCGUGGUUCCGCCAGUCCUCGCGCUUGGGGGUUGGGCAUCUAUUUCAGGUUGACGUGCCUGCUUGGCUCCACUAGUUCUUGCGCUCGGGAGUUGGAUGCCUACUUCAGGUUGGCGUGCCUCCUCGGCUCUGCAAGUCCUCGCACUCUUGGGGUGGACACCUAUUUUAGGUCGGCGUGCCUCUACAGCUCCGCCAGUCCUCACGCUUUGGGGCUGGAUGCCUAUUUCAGGUCGGCAUGCCUCCGCGGCUCCGGCAGUCCUCGCGCUCGGGACUGGGCGCCUACUUCAGGUUGGCGUGCCUCCAUGGCUCUGCUAGUCCUCGCAGAAUAUUAAAGGCUAGUGUCAGUUGAAUAAAGCAAAGACUUCUGCCAUGCAUUCAAGCUAUUCAGUGUAUCUAGACUAUAGUUUACUCAUAUAUGAUUGUGUGAUGAAUCUACAUAUGUUUAAAUGAGUGCACUAUGUAAUAUUUCAAUGAGUGUACUCAUAUGAUGAAUAUUUUAAAAAUAUUGUAAUAAAUAAGUAAAUAUUAAUCAAUAAAUAUAAAUUGGUAAAUAAAAUCAUAAAAAGUAUUUAACAGUAAUAAAAUAAAUUAUUUGAAGUAAUUUACACCAAAAAAAUAUAAAUUUCAAAAUAACUUAAAAUAAUAUAUCUAUUUUAUGGUUCUAAGGUCUUUAUGCUAUAAGAAUGCAGAUAAUAUCGGAUACCCAUCCACAUUUAUUUUGAAUACGAAUACAAAUUUGGAUCAUGUAAAACGAAUUCAAAUGUUUCCAAUUAAGGUACCAUAUUAGAAACGAAUGUGGUUACGAAUAUCCAUAUAUCACAUUUUAGCGGAUAGACAUCUGCCUACACUUUCCACGCCUAUCAGUUACCAUUAUAAAUCAGUUUUGUAACAAAAUAAAUGCGUGUGCAACACUAAUACGAACUCCACAUUCUUUCUCUAAUAAGCUAGUACGUGCCUGCCAACAAAACCUACUACCAACGGUCUCAGGUGGAGAGUGGAGACUUUAACAUUAUGAGAAAUAGUAAAGAGAAAAAAGAUAAUAGAUUGAGUUUCAAUGACCGAUGGGCUUUCUUGUUCAAUGUGGUGACUAAUAGCUUUGAUCUUAUAGGGAAAUAGUCUUGACGGUUGUCUGUUCAUGUGGGCAAACACUCUCACCCCAGCUCACCUAUGAAAAGCUUGAUAGGGUUCUAAUGGC
rnacentral:lncRNA from 1 species